GGAGUACAUAGCCCGGUUUUACAUUCAUUAUCCACAUGCAAAGAUGGGACGAUUUUACAAUCAUAUCACUUAACUUGGCCAUACAUAAGGGAAAAAUAGAAAUAUAUUUUUAUGAUGCUUAAAAAAAGGGAAACGAAAACUUGACCCUACAUGAUACAAAAGGAAUAAAACAAAGCAUUGGUAAACCUUGUUGCUUGCAAAUACGCUUUAGAAAUGGAUGCUAGGUGGAGGCUGGUUACCAUAAGGUGGUGGUCUCUUGUUUGAUGGUUUUUUGUGUGGUGGCUUAUUAACAGGUGGUUUAGGCAAUGGUGGUUUCUUGUUUGGUGGUGUAUUAAUUGGUCGCUUACGCGAUGGCGGUUUCUUCUGUGGUGGCUUAGGAAAUGGUGGCUUUAGCAAUGGUGGUUUCUUGUCUGGUGGUGUAUUAAUUGGUCGCUUACGCGAUGGCGGUUCCUUGUGCGGCGGUUUAGGAAGUGGUGGCUUUAGCAAUAGUGGUUUCUUGUUUGGUGAUUUAUUAAUAGGUUGUUUUUUAAUUGGAGGCUUGUAAGUAGGAGGAGGCUUGUAAAUUGGAGGAUUGUAAACUGGAGUGUUAGUUGGAUUUUUGUGAAUUGGAGUUGUGUAAAUUGGAUUUGGAGGCAUAUUGUGGGAUGGAGAUUUAUCAGCAAGCCCUAGAGGAACAAGGGUAAGAGCAGAAAGGAACACUAACCCUAGCGAGUACAAGAAAAAGGAAGCCAUUUUAGG
rnacentral:lncRNA from 1 species